CCAGAUGAAAUAAGGGCAAAGACAGCCGUAUAACGUGCUGAGAGAAAUGGACCAGAAUGAAAAGUAGUGAUUCAUGGAGCACUGCAAGUCAGACCCUCCUUGGGUUUCAUUUUGAGAGCUACUGUGGGAUUGGGGUCAGUGAGGGCUGGCAUCCAGAUGAAGGGCAGCCAGGUUCCUCCUCCCUGGAGAUGUAGUGCCCGUCAAUCCCUCCCCUUAAUCCUUUUCUAUCCACCCCACCCCCACUAUUCCCUCACACUGACCAAUGUCCUGGGCCUUUAAGAAUUGGAGGGGCUGGACUGAGGAGAGCUCACACCUCUCCCCACCCUACUCCUUCCCUCUGGCUGUAACUGCCAGUCACAGCAGCAAACUGCGGUAGAAGAGGGAAGGAAGCGAAGGAUUGCAAGAGGAGCAAAAGAGAAAAGGAAGCUGGCAGGGUUUCCUCGUCCCACAGUGGAUAGCAUCGCGGAGCUCACAGACACAGGACUGCUACCCUGCCCACGGUAAGGGCCUGGAGGCUCUGACCAGCCUCUGCUCCAAGCUCUUCCUUGCCUGAGUCACUAACUCUGCCCUCCGUAGGUUUACCCACUCUGAUUAAAUUGUACCCUGGACUCCUUUGCCCAAACAGGUCUACAAGACUCCAACCUCCUGGUUCUCUCUAGCUUGGCCUCUUUGACUUAUGGCUUUCCCCCUGCUGUGUCAGUCACUUCUUUAUAUGGGGUCCUCGUAGCUGCCCAAGGCUGCCACUCAGAAGUGAGCCCCACGCUAGUAAGAGAAGGGAGAGAAUAGGAGCCUUGCUUUAGGUAGUUGGACUACAACUUCCAGAACUGUGACAGGAGGGAGUUCAGGGUUUCCCAGGCUUGCCUGUGUGUCAGGGGUGCUUGGUAAAGAUAAAUAUUUCUGAGCUCCAUCCUUGGAAAUGCUGAUCUGGUAGAUUUUGAGCGGGCCUAAGGAAUCUCUAUUUUAAGACACUCUUCAGGGGAUAUUGAUAUAGCCAGGAACCUCUGGAUUAGACACGUAGAGUCUUCGAGCUCUGACAUUCUGAGGGCUGUGACCUGUGACCAGAGCCAUUCUGUCCUCUUUAAACGAAGUAGGUCAGGCAUAAUCCUGCUCAGAAGCAAGAGAGUAGACAAAACGAUUUUCUUCCUGCCUGCCCUCAGAAGGACCUGAGACGCCCUGAAUUCCCCUGUAAUGCCAUUGGCACCACUGGCAACUCUGCCGAAGUCCAUCUAGACACAACCCACCUGGAAGUUGAGGACCAAAUCUUGCUCGGCAGCCCUGGCCACUUCCCACCUUAUUUUGUGUCUCUGUUUUCUUAUCUGUAUUGUAGAGGUAAUUAUCCAUAUCCUCAAGGAUCUCCACAUACAUUUCUAGGGGUGGACAGUUAAGACCCAAUCUCUCUGACUCUCAGUCUUCAUCCUCUGCUCCUUGCCUCUUGCUCUUGCUCCCACUCCCAAAUCCUUUGUCCCUUCUCUCCUAACUGCACUUGUUAUCAGCUGCGAUCAUCCUUCUCAUCCUACCUUCAGACACCAGAGGAAACAGCAAGACCUAGAACACCUAGGUUCUAAGUCCCAUUCUCUGGGCAGUUUGUUUGGUCAGUCUCCUAGGAUACAGGGGAAAGUGAGGCUGAGCAGAGGGACAUGCUGCUGAGUGUCUGAACCGAAGUGGCCUCCCUCCUGGACCACAGUCUCAAAUCCUCACAGGGGACGAGAACCAGAGCUGUUGGGGACUGAAGGAGAAACAAAAGAGGAAGAGGUGAUGGGGAGAAGGGAUGAGGAGAAGGAUGAGAAGAGGAGAGCAAAGAGAGGCUGCCUUAAGUUACUCUAGCAGCAGCUGGUGGAGCAGUGGGUCAUGGCGUUCCUGCUGCAAGGCCGGCUGCCUGUCAAUCAAGACCUCCUGCUGAUGCAGAAAGGCAUGUCGAUGCGCAAGGUGAGGUCCAAAAACUGGAAGAAACUGAGAUACUUCAGGCUUCAGGACGAUGGCAUGACAGUCUGGCAUGCCCGACAGGCUGGAGGCAGUGCCAAGCCCAGCUUCUCAAUCUCUGACGUGGAGACAGUGCGUGAGGGCCAUGAGUCUGAGUUACUGCGCAGCCUGGCAGAGGAGUUCCCCCUGGAGCAAGGCUUCACUGUCGUCUUCCAUGGCCGCCGCUCCAACCUGGACCUGGUGGCCAACAGUGUUGACGAGGCCCGGAUCUGGAUGCAGGGGCUCCAGCUGUUGGUGGACUUUGUCACCAGCAUGGACCAACAGGAGUGGCAGGACCAAUGGCUGAGUGACUGGUUCCAGCGUGGAGACAAAAACCAGGAUGGUCGGAUGACCUUCCAAGAAGUCCAGCGGUUACUGCGCCUGAUGAAUGUGGAAAUGGACCAAGAAUAUGCCUUCCAGCUUUUCCAGACAGCAGACACGUCCCAGUCUGGGACUCUGGAGGGAGAAGAAUUUGUCCAGUUCUAUAAGGCAUUGACUAAGCGUCCUGAGGUGCAGGAAAUCUUUGAAAACUUUUCAGCUGAUGGGCAGAAGCUGACCCUGCUGGAAUUUGUGGAUUUCCUCCGAGAGGAGCAGAAAGAAGGAGACCAUGCUUCUGACCUUGCUCUGGAACUCAUCGACCGCUAUGAGCCUUCAGAGAGCGGCAAACUGUGGCACGUGCUGAGUAUGGACGGCUUCCUCAGCUACCUCUGCUCAAAGGAUGGAGACAUCUUCAACCCGACCUGCCGCCCCAUCUACCAGGAUAUGACUCAACCCCUGAGCCACUACUACAUCAACUCCUCUCACAACACCUACCUAGUGGGGGAUCAGCUUUGUGGCCAGAGCAGCGUCGAGGGAUAUAUACGGGCCCUGAAGCGGGGUUGCCGCUGCGUGGAGGUGGAUAUAUGGGAUGGACCUAGCGGGGAACCUAUUGUUUAUCAUGGACACACCCUGACCUCCCGCAUCCUGUUCAAAGAUGUCGUGGCCACUGUAGCACAGUAUGCCUUCCAGACAUCAGACUAUCCAGUCAUCUUGUCCCUGGAGAACCACUGCAGCUGGGAGCAGCAGCAGAUCAUGGUACAGCACCUGACCGAGAUCCUGGGGGAGCUGCUGCUGAGAACCACCUUGGAUGGACUGCUGCCCACUCAGCUGCCCUCACCUGAGGAGCUUCGGAGGAAGGUCCUGGUGAAGGGGAAGAAAUUAAGGACACUUGAGGAGGAUCUGGAGGAAGAGGAAGAGGAGGAAGAGCUAGAGCCUGAACUGGAGGGGGAGCAGGAGGAUGAGCCGGAGCUGGAGGCCCAGUUUGAGUCUGAGUCCCAGAAGUUGAGCCCUCGCAGUAAAGACAAAAAGAAGGAGAAGGUUGUGAUGUGCCCGCUGUUUUGUCCGCCUCCCUGUUGUGAGGUUAUGGUCCAGGCUCCUAUUUCCAAGCCUGGGGUCCUUCUCUUUCCCAAGCAGAAAUUCAAGCCCAGCUUGUGUCCAUCUCUCUCUGCCCUGGUUGUGUACUUGAAGUCUGUCUCAUUCCACAGCUUCACUCAUUCGAGGGAGCACUACCGCUUCUAUGAGAUAUCAUCUUUUUCUGAAACGAAAGCCAAGAGCCUCAUCAAAGAGGCUGGCAAUGAGUUUGUGCAACACAACGCCUGGCAGUUAAGCCGUGUAUAUCCCAGUGGCCUGAGGACAGAUUCGUCCAACUACAACCCCCAGGAACUCUGGAAUGCAGGCUGCCAGAUGGUGGCUAUGAAUGUGCAGACUGCGGGGCUUGAGAUGGACAUCCAUGAUGGGCUCUUCCGCCAGAAUGGUGGCUGUGGCUACGUGCUGAAGCCAGACUUCCUGCGUGAUGCCCAGAGUUCCUUCCACCCUGAGAGGCCCAUCAGCCCUUGCAAAGCCCAGACCCUCAUAAUCCAGCCCUGGUUGCAGGUGAUCAGUGGUCAGCAACUCCCCAAAGUGAACAAGACCAAAGAGGGCUCCAUUGUGGAUCCACUGGUGAGAGUGGAGAUAUUUGGCAUCCGCCCAGAUACAACCUACCAAGAGACCAACUAUGUGGAGAACAAUGGUUUUAAUCCAUACUGGGGGCAGACACUCUGCUUCCGGGUCCUGGUGCCUGAACUGGCACUGCUGCGUUUUGUGGUGAAAGAUUAUGACUGGAAAUCCCGACAUGACUUUGUUGGUCAGUACACCCUGCCUUGGACUUGCAUGAAACAAGGUGAGCCAGUCCUUCGACCCCCUGGCCAACACCCCAGCUCUGGCUGCCUUCCUAACACCGUCCUCCUGCCCCUUUCCAGGUUACCGCCACAUACACCUUCUCUCCAAGGAUGGCACCAGCCUCCAGCCAGCUUCCAUCUUUGUGCACAUCUGCACCCGAGAAGGGCUGGAGGGGGAUGAAUCCUGAGGCGGGCACUUCAUGGGAAGGGUGGCUACACUGGCUUUGGAUGCUCUAGCUCAAAGGCAGACUACAACUGGAAAUCCAGAGGGCAGAGAAACCCAGAGGCAUUAUCCCCUCCACCCCUCACUUCCUCCAAGAUCAGAGCCUUGGAAAAACAGAUCCAGCCUCAAGGCUCCCCAGGCAAAGGCUGAGGAAAGAGACCUGACUCCCAGACUGUACUGUGACUCUCAAGACAACACCGUAUAGCCCCCAAAUCCCCAGUGGACUGCUCCUCCCUAGUCCCACCGGUAUAAAUACAGCUGCUCUCCCCAA